UGAACGCUGGCGGCGUGCCUAAUACAUGCAAGUCGAGCGAACGGACGAGAAGCUUGCUUCUCUGAUGUUAGCGGCGGACGGGUGAGUAACACGUGGAUAACCUACCUAUGAGACUGGGAUAACUUCGGGAAACCGUAGCUAAUACCGGAUAAUAUUUUGAACCGCAUGGUUCAAAAGUGAAAGACGGUCUUGCUGUCACUUAUAGAUGGAUCCGCGCUGCAUUAGCUAGUUGGUAAGGUAACGGCUUACCAAGGCAACGAUGCAUAGCCGACCUGAGAGGGUGAUCGGCCACACUGGAACUGAGACACGGUCCAGACUCCUACGGGAGGCAGCAGUAGGGAAUCUUCCGCAAUGGGCGAAAGCCUGACGGAGCAACGCCGCGUGAGUGAUGAAGGUCUUCGGAUCGUAAAACUCUGUUAUUAGGGAAGAACAUAUGUGUAAGUAACUGUGCACAUCUUGACGGUACCUAAUCAGAAAGCCACGGCUAACUACGUGCCAGCAGCCGCGGUAAUACGUAGGUGGCAAGCGUUAUCCGGAAUUAUUGGGCGUAAAGCGCGCGUAGGCGGUUUUUUAAGUCUGAUGUGAAAGCCCACGGCUCAACCGUGGAGGGUCAUUGGAAACUGGAAAACUUGAGUGCAGAAGAGGAAAGUGGAAUUCCAUGUGUAGCGGUGAAAUGCGCAGAGAUAUGGAGGAACACCAGUGGCGAAGGCGACUUUCUGGUCUGUAACUGACGCUGAUGUGCGAAAGCGUGGGGAUCAAACAGGAUUAGAUACCCUGGUAGUCCACGCCGUAAACGAUGAGUGCUAAGUGUUAGGGGGUUUCCGCCCCUUAGUGCUGCAGCUAACGCAUUAAGCACUCCGCCUGGGGAGUACGACCGCAAGGUUGAAACUCAAAGGAAUUGACGGGGACCCGCACAAGCGGUGGAGCAUGUGGUUUAAUUCGAAGCAACGCGAAGAACCUUACCAAAUCUUGACAUCCUUUGACAACUCUAGAGAUAGAGCCUUCCCCUUCGGGGGACAAAGUGACAGGUGGUGCAUGGUUGUCGUCAGCUCGUGUCGUGAGAUGUUGGGUUAAGUCCCGCAACGAGCGCAACCCUUAAGCUUAGUUGCCAUCAUUAAGUUGGGCACUCUAAGUUGACUGCCGGUGACAAACCGGAGGAAGGUGGGGAUGACGUCAAAUCAUCAUGCCCCUUAUGAUUUGGGCUACACACGUGCUACAAUGGACAAUACAAAGGGCAGCGAAACCGCGAGGUCAAGCAAAUCCCAUAAAGUUGUUCUCAGUUCGGAUUGUAGUCUGCAACUCGACUACAUGAAGCUGGAAUCGCUAGUAAUCGUAGAUCAGCAUGCUACGGUGAAUACGUUCCCGGGUCU
rnacentral:rRNA from 1 species